rnacentral:rRNA from 1 species
CAAAGGGAUGCCUUAGUAGCGGGCGAGUGAAGCGGCAAAAGCUCAAAUUUGAAAUCUGGCUCUUUCAGAGUCCGAGUUGUAAUUUGAAGAAGGUAUCUUUGGGUCUGGCUCUUGUCUAUGUUUCUUGGAACAGAACGUCACAGAGGGUGAGAAUCCCGUGCGAUGAGAUGAUCCAGGCCUAUGUAAAGUUCCUUCGAAGAGUCGAGUUGUUUGGGAAUGCAGCUCUAAGUGGGUGGUAAAUUCCAUCUAAAGCUAAAUAUUGGCGAGAGACCGAUAGCGAACAAGUACAGUGAUGGAAAGAUGAAAAGAACUUUGAAAAGAGAGUGAAAAAGUACGUGAAAUUGUUGAAAGGGAAGGGCUUGAGAUCAAACUUGGUAUUUUGUAUGUUACUUCUUCGGGGGUGGCCUCUACAGUUUAUCGGGCCAGCAUCAGUUUGGGCGGUAGGAGAAUUGCGUUGGAAUGUGGCACGGCUUCGGUUGUGUGUUAUAGCCUUCGUCGAUACUGCCAGCCUAGACAGAGGACUGCGGUUUAUACCUAGGAUGUUGGCAUAAUGAUCUUAAGUCGCCCGUCUUGAGC